rnacentral:rRNA from 1 species
GUGUCAGCAGCCGCGGUAAGACGUAGGGGGCCAGCGUUGCUCGGAAUUACUGGGCGUAAAGGGUUCGUAGGCGGUGUGGCAAGUCGGAAGUGAAAUCUCUAGGCUCAACCUAGAGGCUGCUCCCGAAACUGCCAUGCUAGAGUGCGGGAGAGGCGAGUGGAAUUACAGGUGUAGCGGUGAAAUGCGUAGAUAUCUGUAGGAACACCCGUGGCGAAGGCGGCUCGCUGGACCGCAACUGACGCUGAGGAACGAAAGCUAGGGGAGCAAACAGGAUUAGAUACCCUGGUAGUCCUAGCCCUAAACGAUCAGGACUUGGGGUGCAUCCCGUUGGGGGUGCGUCCCGUAGCUAACGCGUUAAGUCCUGCGCCUGGGGAGUACGGUCGCAAGACUGAA